rnacentral:rRNA from 1 species
AGAGUUUGAUCCUGGCUCAGAUUGAACGCUGGCGGCAUGCUUUACACAUGCAAGUCGAACGGCAGCGCGGGGCAACCUGGUGAGUAAAGUGGCGUACGGGUGAGUAACACGUGGGUAAUCUGCCUUCUGGUGGGGAAUAACCCUGGGAAACCGGGGCUAAUACCGCAUAACCCCGCAAGGGAAAAGUAGCAAUACGCCGGAAGAGGAGCCCGCGGCCGAUUAGCUAGUUGGUAGGGUAACGGCCUACCAAGGCAACGAUCGGUAGCCGGCCUGAGAGGGCACACGGCCACACUGGCACUGAAACACGGGCCAGACUCCUACGGGAGGCAGCAGUGGGGAAUCUUGCACAAUGGGGGAAACCCUGAUGCAGCGACGCCGCGUGAGCGAUGAAGCCCUUCGGGGCGUAAAGCUCUUUCGGCAGGAACGAUAAUGACGGUACCUGCAGAAGAAGCUGCGGCUAACUACGUGCCAGCAGCCGCGGUAAUACGUAGGCAGCAAGCGUUGUUCGGAGUUACUGGGCGUAAAGAGUGCGUAGGUGGUUUUCUAAGUUCGGUGUGAAAUCUCCCGGCUCAACUGGGAGGGUGCGCCGAAAACUGGAGGGCUUGAGUAUGGGAGAGGAGAGCGGAAUUCCUGGUGUAGCGGUGAAAUGCGUAGAUAUCAGGAGGAACACCUGUGGUGCAGACGGCUCUCUGGACCACUACUGACACUGAGGCACGAAAGCGUGGGGAGCAAACAGGAUUAGAUACCCUGGUAGUCC